rnacentral:tmRNA from 1 species
GGGGUUAUAAUGGCAUUUGACAGCGGGUAGAAAUGGUAUGUAAGCAUGCGGAGCGUCGUCCGAAUGGCUCCUUAAUCUCAGCGGUCAUCAAAUUUAAUUGGCGAAAAUACUUACGCUCUCGCUGCCUAACCGAAGUACAGUAGGUUACUGGCUUAUCUCAUCAUAAGAUGAUGGGACGGGACAUCACUCCGAAGCCCUCUUCCCGAGGCAUAGGAUGCAGUGGUGCUCAGCAAAUCGGGAAUAGUCAUUGUGGUGUUCCGCCACGUUGAUGAAGUUUUAGGAACUAAGGUUGCAGUUGGUGGUCUGGGUCCUGCUGUAGCACGAAAAUAAAGGCCGGAAUAAGCAUGUAGAAAACGUAUGGUUUCCUCGUUUGGACGAGGGUUCGACUCCCUCUAACUCCACAU